UACGGGGGGGGCAAGCGUUGUUCGGAAUUACUGGGCGUAAAGGGCGCGUAGGCGGUCAGAUAAGUCAGCUGUGAAAACCUCGGGCUUAACUCGAGGCCUGCAGUUGAAACUGUUUGGCUGGAGUGUGGGAGAGGAGAGUGGAAUUCCCGGUGUAGCGGUGAAAUGCGUAGAUAUCAGGAGGAACACCUGUGGUGUAGACAGCUUACUGGACCACUUCUGACGCUGAGACACGAAAGCGUGGGUAGCAAACAGG
rnacentral:rRNA from 1 species